rnacentral:lncRNA from 1 species
AGGUUUUGUUUAAUUGUUCAUAGGGUCUUAACAAGAGAAUUCUUAUCAAUACUAAUAAUAAAGAAGACGGCACUAAAAAAGUCGCAUUCUACAAAAAAAUCAAAGAAAAAAUGAAGUAAAUAGAAUAUUCAAGAGGCCUGUAAAGAUUAAGAUAAAGACGAGUGCGCCGACUUGAGAUUUUGGCAUUAUAACCCUGCACAGAUCAAUUUAAGGAUUUAUAUACUUUUCUUAUCUUCAAAUAAGAUUUGGAAUAAUAGGAUUAAAUUAAGAA